rnacentral:rRNA from 1 species
GGGCGAAAACUUUACAAUGCUGGCAACAGCGAUAAGGGAACCUCGAGUGCCAGGUUACAAAUCUGGCUGUCGAGAUGCCUAAAAAAGCAUUUCAUAGCAAGGGCCGGGCAAGACCGGUGCCAGCCGCCGCGGUAACACCGGCGGCUCGAGUGGUAACCGUUAUUAUUGGGUCUAAAGGGUCUGUAGCCGGCCGGAUAAGUCUCUUGAGAAAUCUGGCAGCUUAACUGUCAGGCUUUCAGGAGAUACUGUCUGGCUCGAGGCCGGGAGAGGUGAGAGGUACUUCGAGGGGUAGGGGUGAAAUCUUGUAAUCCUUGAAGGACCACCAGUGGCGAAGGCGUCUCACCAGAACGGACCUGACGGCAAGGGACGAAAGCUAGGGGCACGAACCGGAUUAGAUACCCC